AUACGGAGGGUGCGAGCGUUAAUCGGAAUUACUGGGCGUAAAGGGUGCGUAGGCGGCUUGAUAAGUCGGAUGUGAAAGCCCCGGGCUUAACCUGGGAAUUGCAUUCGAUACUGUCAGGCUAGAGUAUGUCAGAGGUUGGCGGAAUUCCUGGUGUAGCGGUGAAAUGCGUAGAUAUCAGGAGGAACACAAGUGGCGAAGGCGGCUAACUGGGGCAAUACUGACGCUGAGGCACGAAAGCGUGGGGAGCAAACAGGAUUAGAUACCCUAGUAGUCC
rnacentral:rRNA from 1 species